rnacentral:rRNA from 1 species
UAAGUUAAUAAGGGCGCACGGUGGAUGCCUUGGCACUAGGAGCCGACGAAGGACGUGACAAACGACGAUAUGCCUUGGGUAGCUGUAAGUAAGCGAUGAUCCAGGGAUUUCCGAAUGGGGGAACCCAGCAGGUAAUACCUGUUACCUACAUCUGUUAAAGGAUGUGAGGAGGAAGACGCAGUGAACUGAAACAUCUAAGUAGCUGCAGGAAGAGAAAGCAAAAGACGAUUAGCCUUAGUAGCGGCGAGCGAAACGGCAGAAGGGCAAACCGAAGAGUUUACUCUUCGGGGUUGUAGGACUGCAAUGUGGACUCAAAGAUUAUAGAAGAAUGAUUUGGGAAGAUCAGCCAAAGAGAGUAAUAGCCUCGUAUUUAAAAUAGUCUUUGUACUUAGCAGUAUCCUGAGUACGGCGGGACACGUGAAAUCCCGUCGGAAUCUGGGAGGACCAUCUCCCAACCCUAAAUACUCCCUAGUGACCGAUAGUGAACCAGUACCGUGAGGGAAAGGUGAAAAGCACCCCGGGAGGGGAGUGAAAUAGAACCUGAAACCGUGUGCCUACAACAAGUUCGAGCCCGUUAAUGGGUGAGAGCGUGCCUUUUGUAGAAUGAACCGGCGAGUUACGUUAUGAUGCGAGGUUAAGUUGAAGAGACGGAGCCGUAGGGAAACCGAGUCUGAAUAGGGCGCCUUAGUAUCAUGACGUAGACCCGAAACCAUGUGACCUACCCAUGAGCAGGUUGAAGGUGCGGUAAGACGCACUGGAGGACCGAACCAGGGCACGUUGAAAAGUGCUUGGAUGACUUGUGGGUAGCGGAGAAAUUCCAAACGAACUUGGAGAUAGCUGGUUCUCUCCGAAAUAGCUUUAGGGCUAGCGUCGACAUUAGAGAUUCUUGGAGGUAGAGCACUGUUUGGGUGAGGGGUCCAUCCCGGAUUACCAAUCUCAGAUAAACUCCGAAUGCCAAUGAAUUAUGGUCGGCAGUCAGACUGCGAGUGCUAAGAUCCGUAGUCGAAAGGGAAACAGCCCAGACCACCAGCUAAGGUCCCAAAAUAAUUGUUAAGUGGAAAAGGAUGUGGGGUUGCACAGACAACUAGGAUGUUAGCUUAGAAGCAGCUAUUCAUUCAAAGAGUGCGUAAUAGCUCACUAGUCGAGUGACCCUGCGCCGAAAAUGUACCGGGGCUAAAACAAUUUACCGAAGCUGUGGAUACCUUUAUAGGUAUGGUAGGAGAGCGUUCUAUGUGUGAUGAAGGUAUACCGUGAGGAGUGCUGGAAUGCAUAGAAGUGAGAAUGCCGGUAUGAGUAGCGAAAGACAGGUGAGAAUCCUGUCCACCGUAAGACUAAGGUUUCCAGGGGAAGGCUCGUCCGCCCUGGGUUAGUCGGGACCUAAGGAGAGACCGAAAGGUGUAUCCGAUGGACAACAGGUUGAUAUUCCUGUACUAGAGUAUGUAGUGAUGGAGGGACGCAGUAGGCUAACUAAAGCAGACGAUUGGAAGAGUCUGUCUAAGCAGUGAGGUGUGAAUUGAGUCAAAUGCUUAAUUCUAUAACAUUGAGCUGUGAUGGGGAGCGAAGUUUAGUAGCGAAGUUAGUGACGUCACACUGCCAAGAAAAGCUUCUAGCGUUUAAACAUACUCUACCCGUACCGCAAACCGACACAGGUAGUCGAGGCGAGUAGCCUCAGGUGAGCGAGAGAACUCUCGUUAAGGAACUCGGCAAAAUGACCCCGUAACUUCGGGAGAAGGGGUGCUGACUUUAAGUCAGCCGCAGUGAAUAGGCCCAAGCAACUGUUUAUCAAAAACACAGCUCUCUGCUAAAUCGUAAGAUGAUGUAUAGGGGGUGACGCCUGCCCGGUGCUGGAAGGUUAAGAGGAGUGCUUAGCGUAAGCGAAGGUAUGAAUUGAAGCCCCAGUAAACGGCGGCCGUAACUAUAACGGUCCUAAGGUAGCGAAAUUCCUUGUCGGGUAAGUUCCGACCCGCACGAAAGGCGUAAUGAUUUGGGCACUGUCUCAACGAGAGACUCGGUGAAAUUUUAGUACCUGUGAAGAUGCAGGUUACCCGCGACAGGACGGAAAGACCCCAUGGAGCUUUACUGCAGUUUGAUAUUGAGUGUCUGUACCACAUGUACAGGAUAGGUAGGAGUCUAAGAGAUCGGGACGCCAGUUUCGAAGGAGACGCUGUUGGGAUACUACCCUUGUGUUAUGGCCACUCUAACCCAGAUAGGUGAUCCCUAUCGGAGACAGUGUCUGACGGGCAGUUUGACUGGGGCGGUCGCCUCCUAAAAGGUAACGGAGGCGCCCAAAGGUUCCCUCAGAAUGGUUGGAAAUCAUUCGCAGAGUGUAAAGGUAUAAGGGAGCUUGACUGCGAGAGCUACAACUCGAGCAGGGACGAAAGUCGGGCUUAGUGAUCCGGUGGUUCCGUAUGGAAGGGCCAUCGCUCAACGGAUAAAAGCUACCCUGGGGAUAACAGGCUUAUCUCCCCCAAGAGUUCACAUCGACGGGGAGGUUUGGCACCUCGAUGUCGGCUCGUCGCAUCCUGGGGCUGUAGUCGGUCCCAAGGGUUGGGCUGUUCGCCCAUUAAAGCGGCACGCGAGCUGGGUUCAGAACGUCGUGAGACAGUUCGGUCCCUAUCCGUCGCGGGCGUAGGAAAUUUGAGAGGAUCUGCUCCUAGUACGAGAGGACCAGAGUGGACUUACCGCUGGUGUACCAGUUGUCUUGCCAAAGGCAUCGCUGGGUAGCUAUGUAGGGAAGGGAUAAACGCUGAAAGCAUCUAAGUGUGAAACCCACCUCAAGAUGAGAUUUCCCAUGAUUAUAUAUCAGUAAGAGCCCUGAGAGAUGAUCAGGUAGAUAGGUUAGAAGUGGAAGUGUGGCGACACAUGUAGCGGACUAAUACUAAUAGCUCGAGGACUUAUCCA